rnacentral:rRNA from 1 species
UACAGAGGGUGCGAGCGUUAAUCGGAAUUACUGGGCGUAAAGCGCACGUAGGUGGCGACGUGAGUCGGGUGUGAAAUCCUGGAGCUCAACUCCAGAACUGCCUUCGAUACUGAGAGUCUCGAGUCCGGGAGAGGUGAGUGGAACUGCGAGUGUAGAGGUGAAAUUCGUAGAUAUUCGCAAGAACACCAGUGGCGAAGGCGGCUCACUGGCCCGGUACUGACGCUGAGGUGCGAAAGCGUGGGGAGCAAACAGG